AACCUGGUUGAUCCUGCCAGUAGUCAUAUGCUUGUCUCAAAGACUAAGCCAUGCAUGUCCAAGUAUAAGUGUUAUACAGCGAAACUGCGAAUGGCUCAUUAAAACAGUUAUAGUUUAUUUGAUAAUCGAAUUUACAUGGAUAACCGUGGUAAUUCUAGAGCUAAUACAUGCUGGUAUGCCCGACUUUUGCGGAAGGGCGGUAUUUAUUAGAUAACAAGCCAAUAUUCCUCUGGUCUAUUGUGGUGACUCAUAAUAACUGAUCGAAUCGCAAGGCCUUUGGCCGCGAUAAAUCAUUCAAGUUUCUGCCCCAUCAGCUUUCGAUGGUAGUGUAUUGGACUACCAUGGCGUUUACGGGUAACGGAGGAUUAGGGUUCGAUUCCGGAGAGGGAGCCUGAGAAACGGCUACCACAUCUAAGGAAGGCAGCAGGCGCGUAAAUUACCCAAUCCUGACUCAGGGAGGUAGUGACAAGAAAUAACGGACCGGUUCCUUCGGAUUCGGGAUUGCAAUGAGCCGAAUUUACACCCCUUAGCGAGGAUCGAUUGGAGGGCAAGUCUGGUGCCAGCAGCCGCGGUAAUUCCAGCUCCAAUAGC
rnacentral:rRNA from 1 species